CUACGACCGGCCAACACCGACCGUGAAACGACGGGUCUGCAGCUGGCUUCCUUGGGCGUCGUCCUCACCGGCGUCGUUCUGCUCCUGGCCGUCGUGUCCAGCCCGCUCUCCCUUCUGCUGGACUCCCUCGCCCACUCUGCCAGGGAGGCACAAGACGGUGGACGAGGCUCUCCGUCGGGUGUCCUGGGCGAGUCUGCUGAAGAGUCUGGACCUCGAGGAAGGGUGGGCGGCCCUCCGCACGCCCGCACGCUGCCGGGAGAAGGUGGUGUGCGAGGUCCACAGGCUGCUCCGGGGGGCUUCUCCGCAUGCGCUUCGUUUAGUGAGGGCGUUCGUACCUCACGUGGGCGGGGCGUCGAAGUACAAGGAAGCCGCCGUUGCAGGACUCGGUGGGCGUGGCUGCGCUUCCCUCUAUCCCUCCUGCAGCGCCUCCGGGUUGCAGUUCCUCGCCAACCUCCCCGCCGCCGUGUCAGCUGGUUCUCGGAGGGGCGAGCGCGGUGAAUGCUGUCGGUGUUUCUUUCUCUUUUUUUUUCUCUUUCUCUGUCUUUCUGU